rnacentral:rRNA from 1 species
AAACCAACAGGGAUUGCCUCAGUAACGGCGAGUGAAGCGGCAAGAGCUCAAAUUUGAAAUCUGGUAGUUUUUACUGCCCGAGUUGUAAUUUGAAGAGUCCAACCUUGGGUUGCAGCACUGUCUAUGUUUCUUGGAACAGGACGUCACAGAGGGUGAGAAUCCCGUGAGGUGGUGCGAUUUGCUUCUCUUGUAGGUUGUUCUCGACGAGUCGAGUUGUUUGGGAAUGCAGCUCUAAGUGGGUGGUAAAUUCCAUCUAAAGCUAAAUAUUGGCGAGAGACCGAUAGCGAACAAGUACAGUGAUGGAAAGAUGAAAAGAACUUUGAAAAGAGAGUGAAAAAGUACGUGAAAUUGUUGAAAGGGAAGGGCAUUAGAUUAGACUUGGCGCUUCAGGCACAUCCUCCUCUUGUAGGGGGUGCACUCCUGUUGUGCUGGGCCAGCAUCGAUUUGUGCGGUGGGAUAAAACCUUUGGGAAGUAGCUACACUUGUGUAGUGUUAUAAACAAAGGGCAUGCCACCAGCGUAGAUCGAGGACUGCGUCAUUUUUGACUAGGAUGCUGGCGUAAUGAUCUAAUGCCGC